GAAAGCCGUGUGCAAUGAAAAAUGCAAGCACGGCUUGGGGAGGGGUUUUUACCUAUUUAACUGGGAAAUUAUCUACUCCAU
rfam:Daucus carota subsp. sativus cultivar DH1 chromosome 3, whole genome shotgun sequence.